rnacentral:rRNA from 1 species
CCCUUAGAUGUUCUGGGCCGCACGCGUGCUACACUGAGUGGAUCAGCGGGUCAGGUUGCGCGAAAGUGUUUCCUAAUCUUUAAAUCCGCUCGUGAUGGGGAUUGACGGUUGCAAUUUUCCGUCAUGAACGAGGAAUACCUUGUAAGCGCGGGUCAUCAUCCCGCGCUGAAUACGUCCCUGCCCUUUGUACACACCGCCCGUCGCUCCUACCGAUUGAGUGGUCCGGUGAGGCUUUGGGAUCUGAGCAAAAAGAGCGUUUCGCUCGUUUGGCUCGGAAAACUCAGUCGAACCUUAUCAUUUAGAGGAAGGAGAAGUCGUAACA